rnacentral:rRNA from 1 species
UACGGAGGGGGCGAGCGUUGUCCGUAGUUACUGGGCGUAAAGCGCGCGUAGGCGGGUUGGUAAGUCCGCUGUGAAAGCCCGGAGCUUAACUCCGGAGGGUCGGUGGAUACUGCCAGUCUUGAAGGUGCUAGGGGGAGAUGGAAUUACCGGUGUAGCGGUGAAAUGCGUAGAUAUCGGGAGGAACACCAGUGGCGAAGGCGGCUCACUGGCCCGGUACUGACGCUGAGACGCGAAAGCGUGGGGAGCGAACAGG